CAAUAGCGUAUAUUUAAGUUGCUGCAGUUAAAAAGCUCGUAGUUGGAUUUCGGGUGGGAAUGGCCGGUCCGCGGUUUCGGUGUGCACUUGCUACGCCCACCUUGCUGCCGGGGACGUGCUCUUGAGUUCACGCUCGGGACACGGAGUCGGCGAGGUUACUUUGAGUAAAUUAGAGUGUUCAAAGCAGGCCUACGCUCUGAAUACAUUAGCAUGGAAUAACACGAUAGGACUCUGGCCUAUCUUGUUGGUCUGUAGGACCGGAGUAAUGAUUAAGAGGGACAGUCGGGGGCAUUCGUAUUUCAUUGUCAGAGGUGAAAUUCUUGGAUUUAUGAAAGACGAACUACUGCGAAAGCAUUUGCCAAGGAUGUUUUCAUUAA
rnacentral:rRNA from 1 species